rnacentral:lncRNA from 1 species
GCCUUCUCCAAGUCGAUAAGCACCAUAUGAAGGUCCUUCUUCUUAUCCCUGAAUUGUUCCGCCAUCCGCCUGACUAAGUGAAUCGCCUCUGUGGUGGGAGCGUCCCGGCAUGAAACCGAACUGGUUCCCAGAUAUAGUUGUCGCCUCCCUCACACGCGCCUCAAUCACCCUCUCUCAAACCUUCAUCGUGUGGCUUAUUA